AUCAGAGAAGGAUCUGGUCUCAGUGGACGACAAACUGGAUAUGUGUCAGCUUAAUAAGUGUUGCUAGAAAGGCAGGGGCCAUCCUGGGGAUCUAGAUAGCCACGGGAUGGUAGAGUGACGAGGGAAUGGAGGUUCUGAGGAAAGUCACACACACACCCUCUCUAUAGCCCAAGUUUGUCUGUCUGUAAAAUCCGGCUGGGCUUUGGUCUCUAAGGUGGGCCCUCCCACCCUGACAUCCUCUGUUUCCCUGAACUGGAGAGCAGGAGCGAGGGGCUGGGGAUUGAGUGUCUGGAGCAUUGUUGUCAAGUAGGUGACACUGACUCUUCUGCUCCAGGGUCUGUGACCUUUCCAGAGCAGGACAGUAGCAAGCCAAGCGCUGUGCCCUGGGAUGACACAGCUGACUGGGGAAGGGGGUGCUGUUUGGCUUGGUGAAUAAAGACCUCACAGGAAGUUCCACCCACUUUCAGAAAUCCCUCCAUUUCCAGCCUUCAUUCCACCUGAGGAGAGAGCUGCCGUUUGGUUUCCAUAUACCAGACCCCUGCAGAAAACUCAUCAAAGAUGAAGAUCUCACGAGGAAGCAUAGUGUCGUCAGCAGAGCACGCUCGGGCUUGGAGGCCCAUGGGACUGUGGAUCUGGGCUCUGCUAUCUGCUGGUUCUGAGAUGCUGGGUCUCCAGCACGUGAGGUCGACCCUUAGGAUUGGGGGAAUGAAUGAUGGAACUUAACCUUCUGAGGCUCAGUCUCCUCCGCAGUAGGAUGGAAGUAAAUAAUAAUACCUGCCUCCUUCUCGGGUUACAUAUGAAAAGAGCCUGUCCAGA